UCGAGUAUUGCCGAGUUUGGUCGAACUCGGUGGAGGCCCGCAGCCAUGUGUUGUGGUCUGCUGUCGCCGCGAGUGCUUUGUGACAAGGGAGGUGCGGUGUCUGGAUUUUUUUUCUCUUGGUUUACUCUCUCCUCGUUAAUCGGCAAACAUCGUCAAUAAUUUUCUCGCGAAUAUAAUUAUAAUGUCGUUGAAAAUGGACGGCUCGCGAUACGCGCGGUGCUCGUGAACGUGUCUCGUUAAACUGGAGUUUCGAACGACGACGAGGACGAGAGGAGGACGUCGGAGACGAUUACGAAUACGACGAGGAACGUUGUAGCAGGAAAAAAAGUCGAUAAUUUUAUUCGAAAAAAAAAAAAAAGAAAAAGUGUGUGCUAGUGUAAUAAUUAAUCGUUUCGCUUUGAUUUCGUGAACAACGUUGCUAGUGGUCGUUGACGAUAUUCGGGAGGGGGAGGGAAAAAAAAGAAAAAGAAAAUAAUAGUCGACGACGGCGAGAAAAAACGUUGCUUCGAUCUCUCGCAUCUCUCUGGCAUCUGUACGCGCGCGUUUACGUGUGCGUGCGUGUGCGUGUGUGUGUGUGUAUGCGUGUAUCGCGUGUGCGUAUAUAUGCGUCGUGUAUAACGUGCUUAUCAUUUCGUCUAUAUACAUACUUAUAUACGCGUGUGUGUAGUAGUAGCUUGUUGUGCCUCGCGGGUGAAUGCGAGUGAAUGCGUGUGAAUGCGUGUGCGCCGCGUAACAUCGUGUGUCUCGUUUCUUAGCACGGGUACUUUUGGUAUCGCCAUCUCUUUCUUUCUGCGAUCACCGGCGACGACCGUACAGAGAAAAGAAGGAUGGAUACGUACGAGUAGUAGAAGAUAAGCGAAAUAAAAAAAAAGACAGAGUCGAACGAUCGGAUAUAUAUGCACGGAAAGAAGACGGACAUAUGCGUAUGCAUUACGACGAAGCUUUGGCCGAGGGAACUCUUCGGCGAAACGACGACUUUCCAGUGGAACGACAUGCUUUCUUUAUGAUCCAACGCACUACGAAACUUAGUUUAACUUGGCAUGAAAGAAAGAUCGUUAAGACGUCGCGUGACCGGACUAGAAAAAUGAAUCGGCUGUGAAUCCAGGAA
rnacentral:lncRNA from 1 species